GGGGACGUGCGGCAGGCCUAACACAUGCAAGUCGAGCGGUAGAGAGAAGCUUGCUUCUCUUGAGAGCGGCGGACGGGUGAGUAAAGCCUAGGAAUCUGCCUGGUAGUGGGGGAUAACGUUCGGAAACGGACGCUAAUACCGCAUACGUCCUACGGGAGAAAGCAGGGGACCUUCGGGCCUUGCGCUAUCAGAUGAGCCUAGGUCGGAUUAGCUAGUUGGUGAGGUAAUGGCUCACCAAGGCGACGAUCCGUAACUGGUCUGAGAGGAUGAUCAGUCACACUGGAACUGAGACACGGUCCAGACUCCUACGGGAGGCAGCAGUGGGGAAUAUUGGACAAUGGGCGAAAGCCUGAUCCAGCCAUGCCGCGUGUGUGAAGAAGGUCUUCGGAUUGUAAAGCACUUUAAGUUGGGAGGAAGGGCAGUUACCUAAUACGUGAUUGUUUUGACGUUACCGACAGAAUAAGCACCGGCUAACUCUGUGCCAGCAGCCGCGGUAAUACAGAGGGUGCAAGCGUUAAUCGGAAUUACUGGGCGUAAAGCGCGCGUAGGUGGUUUGUUAAGUUGGAUGUGAAAUCCCCGGGCUCAACCUGGGAACUGCAUUCAAAACUGACUGACUAGAGUGUGGUAAAGGGUGGUGGAAUU
rnacentral:rRNA from 1 species